rnacentral:lncRNA from 1 species
CAGUUGGUUGAGGUGACAAAUCAUAUAUUUAUUUAAAUUAAAUUACUCAUUAUUUUUAAAUGUUAGCAUAACUCUAUAAGUUAUACUGUGUAUUUUCCACUUAUUUGAUAUAAAUCCUAAACUUCAGGAUUUCCAUCAAUAAUAUUUUUUUAUUUUUUAUUUUUUUUAAUAAUUUCUGUUUCUAUUUGUUAUUACUAAUCCAUUUGAUAUAAUAUUCCAUAAACUCGGUUUAGUAUUGUUUCAUGAAACGUGUUUAUUUGUGAACACCCAGCGGGGCCUCCCGGUAAACCCGGUAAACCUCCGGCCUGGACCGGUCUGAUGAUGGGCUCAAAGACUUUAUGAUAAAAGUGAUUUUCCCCCGUUCAGGGCUCUUUCUUUUCGGGACACCGCUCAAUGGUUCCGUUCACCCCGCCCGGGGUUUGAGCCGCUGUUAGUGAGUGAGCAGCAGCGGGCCAAGCUGGAGCAGCUGCCCGGGGAAAGAGGCCCGGAGAGCGGACACACGGAGAGGCCGCUCUCCUUCAACCGUGUCUCGGCUCUUGGAUUGGCACAGUUUGUUAAAAUAACGAUAUAUCUGGAUAUUAAAUGGUAGCUCGGCCCGCUUUAAUCCGUUUUGAGGUUUAGCGGCGGAGCUAGCUGGAGCAGCUGACGGGGGACGGUGGUUCGGAGGGCGGCUACACGUUGAGGCUGUUCUCGGUAAACUUUGCUCGGACUUCCGCUGCUUUUGAUCGGCGUUUUUAUUCGCUUUGUUGAUGUCGGGUCGGUCAGUGUAGCUAACAUGAUGCGGUAAAGACUGAUCGGUGCUUGACGUUCUUCUGACGCUGAGGCCUGCGGGACGGGCUUUUACCGGGCUCGAGUAGAGCUUCACUGCGGCCUGAGGAGCUCUUGGUGCGGUCGAGGGUGCCGCCUCCUCCCGUCAUGGAGCGGAUGGAGAUAGACCAGUGCGCAGGCGCAGGAGUGCUGCGCAGAUCAAACAGUGCCCCCAUGAUCACCAGUGUCAGUGACAGGAUGGACAUCUUCAGUCCCGUCUGCUCGUCUCGCUACAGACGCAGCAGUGUGUCCGUCAACCCCAGCACCCCCUCACAGGUCAGUGAACGCCUCACAGUACUACUGAUGUCAGAUACAUAG